rnacentral:sRNA from 1 species
AUCAGAAACCCAGACCAGCCAUCAAUGUAACUUGUACACGGCUCAUCGAGAAAAAGAAAAGACAACAAGAGGAUUACCUGCUCUACAAGCAAAUGAAGCAACUGAAAAACCCCUUGGAGACAGUCAGCAUACCUGAUAAUCAUGGACAUAUUGAUCCCUCUCUGAGACCCAUCUGGGAUUUGGCUUUCCUUGGAAGCUCUUAUGUGAUGUGGGAAAUAACAACACAGGUGUCACACUACUACUUGGCACAGCUCACUAGUGUGAGACAGUGGACAUCAGUCUCCAUCAGAAAAAGUGACAGACAUUCAACCAGACUUUCAUAUAACUCAGUGACAAGACAAAAAUGAGGAUCCAUGACUUCCAUAU